AAUGCAUCACUACCAGAUGGACCUGCGUUGUAUUAGCUAGUUGGUGGGGUAACGGCUCACCAAGGCGACGAUACAUAGCCGACCUGAGAGGGUGAUCGGCCACACUGGGACUGAGACACGGCCCAGACUCCUACGGGAGGCAGCAGUAGGGAAUCUUCGGCAAUGGACGGAAGUCUGACCGAGCAACGCCGCGUGAGUGAAGAAGGUUUUCGGAUCGUAAAGCUCUGUUGUAAGAGAAGAACGAGUGUGAGAGUGGAAAGUUCACACUGUGACGGUAUCUUACCAGAAAGGGACGGCUAACUACGUGCCAGCAGCCGCGGUAAUACGUAGGUCCCGAGCGUUGUCCGGAUUUAUUGGGCGUAAAGCGAGCGCAGGCGGUUAGAUAAGUCUGAAGUUAAAGGCUGUGGCUUAACCAUAGUACGCUUUGGAAACUGUUUAACUUGAGUGCAAGAGGGGAGAGUGGAAUUCCAUGUGUAGCGGUGAAAUGCGUAGAUAUAUGGAGGAACACCGGUGGCGA
rnacentral:rRNA from 1 species